GAUGAACGCUGGCGGCGUGCUUAACACAUGCAAGUCGAACGGAAAGGCUCCUGCUUGCAGGGGUACUCGAGUGGCGAACGGGUGAGUAACACGUGGGUGAUCUGCCCUGCACUUCGGGAUAAGCCUGGGAAACUGGGUCUAAUACCGGAUAGGACGAUGGUUUGGAUGCCAUUGUGGAAAGUUUUUUCGGUGUGGGAUGAGCUCGCGGCCUAUCAGCUUGUUGGUGGGGUAAUGGCCUACCAAGGCGUCGACGGGUAGCCGGCCUGAGAGGGUGUACGGCCACAUUGGGACUGAGAUACGGCCCAGACUCCUACGGGAGGCAGCAGUGGGGAAUAUUGCACAAUGGGCGCAAGCCUGAUGCAGCGACGCCGCGUGGGGUAUGACGGCCUUCGGGUUGUAAACUCCUUUCGCUAGGGACGAAGCGCAAGUGACGGUACCUGGAGAAGAAGCACCGGCUAACUACGUG
rnacentral:rRNA from 1 species